UCUCUUCGUCAUUUCGACAGAGCCAACAGCAAAGCCGCUAGCUAGCGCUGACGCACUACGCUUAGCCUUUGUGGCUGUCUACUACACAACGAGGUGGCUGUAAUUUUUGCAUCUUCACCAAAGCCAGAAACGUUGCUACCGUCGUCGUUGCUGUCUUCGUGAUCGUCGUGGCCGUCGUUGUCGUCACUACGUCGACGGGAAAAUAUGAAGCAGGCGCCGCGCGGCCAAAGGGAAAACACAAACGAGCAACAACAUAGCGGCAGCAAUCCCUGUGCUCUGUGCUGUACUGUGGGAAUCGUGGUCUCGAUACCGUAAAAUUUCGCAACGUUUCGCUAUUUAUUCCGCAAUCAAGUAUUUGUGAGUUUUUCCGUGUUGCGCGACGUGUGGCCUACACUGUGAGUUUAGAGUGUGUGUAGCGUGUAUGAAGGUGGGACGUAUUUAAGUUUGUAAUUACUUUCUGGCUAAAAUUUAAUGGCAAAAGAGUAGAGAAUAAAGUGGCGAAAAAAAUAAAUACUGAAAAGCGCACGAUAGGGGCGGCAUUUUAUUGCCAAUUUUCAGCCGCAGUCUACACGUAGCGGGCAAAUAUGCAAGCAGCGCCCCCGAACGCCGCCACCAAACCUUCAACCGCCUCCAUUACGACCACUAAUAAAUCGAAAAUAACAACACACCAGUUGAGAAACAAAACUUUUGUUGCAACCCCGCUAUAUCAGCCAACCCUGCAACAGCAGCAGCACCACCACCACCAACAACAAGCCAUAGUUGGUGGUUCCAGCAAAUCUAACGUCGUGCUUGACGACCCCACACGUGAGAUCGAGGAGAUCUCCAAAAAGAUUUCCGAGCACGCGGACGCGCUAUAUCAUACGUGGAAGAGUCGUGGAUUAGCACCCACCGAAUUGCUUGGUUUCUAUACGCAUGCGGCAGCUGCAGCGGCAGCGACCGACAACGUAAGUGACACAGGCGAUCUAUUUGCGGUUGCUGACGAACAAACAGCAGAGGGACUGCAGAAGUUGGUAAACACAUUUGUGCUACGGGAUAAGGAACAACGCGCCGGCAAAGCGGGUACCGGCGGCAGCACUGGCACGGGCAGACUGGGAAGUGGAGUAGUGGGCGCAGGCGUUAUUGGUGUUGGAGGAGUUGGCAGCAUUGUGGGAGCGGGCAGCACCGGCAGCGGUUUACUUGUGAAUACGCUCGAGCCUAAUAUAGACGGUGGCAAUAUGGUUGGAAAAUUAAAACAGUCGUCAACGUCAACAACGUCGACAACAAGCAAAAGAAGUCCUACCGCACAGAAGUCGCCCACGACAGCCACGUCGUCGGCGAUAUUAAUGAAAGCAGUUGAUACGCCAGGCGUCGAUGUUGUCGAUACGCUAAAAAAAAAGACGACAAAAUCCAAUGGUAAAGCGAGUGGCGCAACGUCUUCCAGUGCAGGGGCAACGCCGUCUUCCAAGUCUUCGCUCGCUCACAAGCAUGAAAAACAACCACAACACUCAAUCAUUAGCGCUGGCAGUUCAACGACGUCUAAGUCGCGAGUUUCGAGUUCGAGCGCUGCCACAAAUGCCACAACAGCAAACACAACCACCACCACUAUUGGACGCAGCAAACCACAUGUUUCCAAUUCCCCGCCGUUGGAUAUAAAUUUAACGGUUGACUUGAAUCUCGAUCUGUCGGACUUAUCAGAGCUGCAGACGCAAAACCUGCGCAAAAUUAAGGAGCUGCUGCAGGAAAAUGUACCGACAACGCCGACAGCUGCAAGCAAGGGAGCAGCGGCGAAUAGCAGCAGCAAACAGUCGAAAACCGCCAACUCACCUAAUAGUGCCGCAGCAUCCGGCGCGGAUGUCGUGGCAAAUAAUGCGAAUCACUAUCAACGCCGUGCCGAGUUGACGGCCAAGAGCGCGAAAAUUGGCGGCAAGAGUGAGGUGGUGAUGGUAGGGGCUGCCGCUGACAACAGCGGCGGAGCAAGUGUCAAUAAAGCGGCUAUCACAAGUGGUGGCAGUGGCGGCGCGGUCGGCGGCAUUGACAAUGGCGCCAUUGCUGUUGUUGCAAGUAGUAACGUUGACAAAAAUAGUAGCGCCGGUAGUGCGGGGUCCACUGCGCAAGUAACGAGCACCAAACGGAGCGCAGCAACCGCAAAAUUGAGCAAUUCGAAAUCAGCGCCGCCUGAUAAUCAAUCGAAUCAAAGUGCCAUCAGUGUCAGUGACUAUAAGCAAUCGGGCAAAGAAAGCGGCGGCAGCGGUGGCGAAAAAAGUGCACCCACAUCGACGAUAAAGAAUUCGGGUGGCACGCGGACAGCAACUGUCAGUGGCAGCAGUGGAAGCAAAGCAAUUAAAGCGCCUACCCUUAAGGACGAUAAGAACGACAGUAACAACAACAACAACAACAAUAAAAUUAGCAACACCAACAAUCAUACAAAUCACAUUCGAAGUGGCAGCAAGUCAGGCUCAAAAAAAGAUAACAAAACGGCUAACAGCAACGGAGCAGGAGCAGCAACCGCAGGCGCGGGCGGAGGAGCAGCAGGCACUACAGCUAUUGGUGGCGCCACGGGUGCGAACGGUAUGGAAGCCAUGCCUGCAACAGCAAGCGGAGCAACAACAACAACAACACCUUCGAAGUUUACCAAAACCGGGCGUCCGUUGACCAAUGGGCAGGAUAAAUAUGUCGGUCGACCGAUUUUGACGCGUGGCUCAGUUGCAGAGCGCGUGCUUAUGUUCGAGAAGUGUCCGGAUGUACGCAACUCAUUUUUGAAUAUAAAACGUCCAGAUCCAGCGGAUGCGCCACCAAAAAGUCUGCUCAAGGUCAAAUUACAUGCAACGCCACCCCCACCGCCCGAACAAAACUCUGUACAACGCGAGAUUCGGACCACCAAAACAGGUUAUAUACCCCGCUUCUAUUUUCCGCAUGGCAAACCACAACCGCAAAUCGCAGCGGAACGUACACUGCGUGGUAUUUUGUCCGCCUUCGAUUCGUUCCCGAAUAAUCAGGUGACCAAAGAUGAGUUGCCGCGCAUUUUAAAAAUCUGUGGCCUUCCCUUCUACUGGCGCAUGCCGGUAAUGAUCUUUUGUCAGCAGGGUAACUCGGGAUUGGUGGAGCGACAAAGAUUCGUGGAAUUCUGGAAACAAAUGAACGUCUAUUGCCAUGAUGCCGCCUCGCGUUUUGUCUACAUUUUAUCACGCGGUCAACGUUUUCGCCAAUACAUACUGCCCGAGGAUUUGGCGCCGCUGGUACAGGAUGUUGUCGAUACGCAUCCGGGCUUGGCGUUUCUCAAAGAGGCUACCGAGUUUCAUUCCAGAUAUGUGCAUACGGUCAUUGCGAGAAUAUUCUACUCGGUAAAUAGGUGCUGGUCCGGCAGGAUAACUAUAUCUGAGCUGAAGAAAUCCGAUUUGUUGGAGGUCCUAACGCUGCUCGAAGAGGAGGACGAUAUCAAUCAAAUUAUGGCCUUCUUUAGCUACGAACACUUCUAUGUUAUCUAUUGCAAAUUCUGGGAACUAGAUAAAGAUCACGAUCUAUUAAUUAGUCAAGAUGAUUUGGCACGCCACAGCGAUCAUGCUUUGUCCACACGCAUUGUAGAGCGAAUAUUUUCGGGUUGUGUGACGCGUAGCGAUAACAAGAAAAAUCCAGAAGACGAGCCAAAAAUGUCCUAUACCGAUUUUGUGUGGUUUCUGCUUUCCGAGGAAGAUAAGCGUACACCCACCGCAAUUGAGUAUUGGUUCCGAUGCAUGGAUGUCGAUGGUGAUGGUAUGUUGUCCAUGUACGAAUUGGAGUACUUCUAUGAGGAACAACAACAACGCAUGGAAUCGAUUGGUAUUGAAACGUUGCCAUUUGAGGACUGUUUGUGUCAGAUGCUGGACAUGAUUAAACCUGCACGUCGUGAUUGCAUUACACUGGGCGAUUUAAAGCGUUGCAGAAUGACGCAUGUCUUCUUCGACACAUUCUUCAAUUUGGAGAAAUAUUUGGACCAUGAGCAACGUGAUCCAUUUGCCUCGCAACGGGACGAAUAUUCUUCUGAUUGGGAUCGUUUUGCGGCGCAAGAGUACGAACUGCUCAUCUCUGAAGAGAACGAUUAAAUGCAUACAGAUAAGGUCCGAAGAUACAUAUCUUUCAACAAUGAAAAUAUUAAGCGCAAACUUUUUAUACAACAAAACUAAAAAAAAAAAACAAAAUGUUCAACAAGGAAGCGGCGAAUGCAGCGAUUUUUCUAUGAGUGCCAGUAAAAUUAUUAGAAACAACCAAAGCGAUAAGGCCGAAUGAAACCUAUAUCAACACACACUAACAAACGGAAACACAUACCAAA
rnacentral:misc_RNA from 1 species